UAUACAAUAGCCCAGUAGUUAAAUGCACCCACCUGGAAUAUGGGACACUUAGGUUCAAAUCCUAUUUGUUUGC
rfam:Alligator sinensis unplaced genomic scaffold scaffold140_1, whole genome shotgun sequence